ensembl:lncRNA
CACCAACCGCAUCUACAACAGCUCUCUACUCAAGUCCAACUCUUCUGAUUAUGCGAUCUUGUACAAACAAGUUACUGACAUGCUCAACUCCAUCUACGGCUGUGCCACGUGUAAAACACACGUGUUUUAUGGCAAUGUGUCAGCGAUGACCUUCAGCAAUCAAACUGGAACUGUGCUCGUAAAGGCUAGUCUCGUGUUCCAGUCAAACAAAACCAACGCUGAUGAGAUCAAAGAGCUGUUUAUGAACGCGACCGCUGGCGAUAAGGAAAUAAACGGCCUUAAAGUCAACCCUAAUUUCACACAAGUCAUAGCACCACCGUCCACCCCUGCACCAACUGUCUCCAGCACUUCCCAUACAACCAAGUCUCCACUUCUUGCAACUACACACUACAACACCGCCUCGUCCUUUAAUCAAAGUCCCAUUGCUCUGACGUCAAUUCUCCGCUAUACUGUUUCGUUCUGCCUGCUUUACUUCCUCAGCUAUUCUUUUUAAUUGUGUAAACCUGCCACUAGGGGCAGUGCAACAUCUUUAUAUAAUGAAAUACGUUAAUCUACAGGGUGUACCAACAAUCUCCUUACAUAGUGGACUAUGUUCACCAGCAUCACGUCGGUUGUGUCUUUAUGAGUGGAUGUUGGUGAAUGUCCACUUCUCGGUCUGCAACACUUAUAUAUAUAUAUAUAUAUAUAUAUAUAUAUA